rnacentral:rRNA from 1 species
CCUACGGGUGGCAGCAGUGAGGAAUAUUGGUCAAUGGACGAAAGUCUGAACCAGCCAAGUAGCGUGAAGGAUGACUGCCCUAUGGGUUGUAAACUUCUUUUAUAUGGGAAUAAAAUGUUCCACGUGUGGGAUUUUGUAUGUACCAUAUGAAUAAGGAUCGGCUAACUCCGUGCCAGCAGCCGCGGUAAUACGGAGGAUCCGAGCGUUAUCCGGAUUUAUUGGGUUUAAAGGGAGCGUAGGUGGAUUGUUAAGUCAGUUGUGAAAGUUUGCGGCUCAACCGUAAAAUUGCAGUUGAAACUGGCAGUCUUGAGUACAGUAGAGGUGGGCGGAAUUCGUGGUGUAGCGGUGAAAUGCUUAGAUAUCACGAAGAACUCCGAUUGCGAAGGCAGCUUACUGGACCGCAACUGACACUGAGGCUCGAAAGUGUGGGUAUCAAACAGGAUUAGAUACCCUUGUAGUC